rnacentral:ncRNA from 1 species
CAACCUGAGCUCAGUCGUGAUUACCCGCCGAACUUAAGCAUAUCAUUCAGCGGAGGAAAAGAAACUAACUAGGAUUCCCCAAGUAAUGGCGAAUGAAAGGGGAAGAGCCCAGCGCUGAAUCUCUCGGUCUUAGGCCGCUGAGAACUGUAGCGUAUAGGUGUGACUGUCCUGCUAUAUUGCAUUUCCGAAGUCUCUUUGAUAGGGGCCAACAUCCAGAGAGGGUGCGAGACCUGUACGGAAAGUAGUAUAGUUGGUAUGGUUACUCCUUGGAGUCGGGUUGCUUGAAAGUGCAGCCUAAAGUUGGUGAUAAACUUCAUCUAAGGCUAAAUAUCGACGCGAAAUCGAUAGCAAACAAGACCGUGAGGGAAAGUUGCAAAGAACUUUGAAGAGAGAGUUCAAGAGAACGUGAAAUCGCUGAAGUGGAACCGGAGAGAGUUAACAUAACUUGGUAGCUAUAUCCUCUAAAGUCGCUUAACUGUGGCUCUGGGGGGGUGGACGCUACCUGUUGUUGCACUGACUGCGUUGAUUGUGCUUUCCGAACAGUAUAGUGUUGCCCACUUUGUGGUGUCUUGCUUUCUGGGAGGUUUGUCAUAAUUAACGUAAAGCCAAUUCCCUUUGGAGUCAGUGUGAAAGUUAACCACCUUUCCGACCCGUCUUGAAACACGGACCGAGGAGUGUAAUUUAUACGCGAGUCAAGGGGUGGUGAAAACCCUAGGGGCGGAAUGAAAGUAAAGG